GAUGAACGCUGGCGGCGUGCCUAAUACAUGCAAGUCGAGCGAAUGGAUUAAGAGCUUGCUCUUAUGAAGUUAGCGGCGGACGGGUGAGUAACACGUGGGUAACCUGCCCAUAAGACUGGGAUAACUCCGGGAAACCGGGGCUAAUACCGGAUAACAUUUAUAACCGCAUGGUUCGAAAUUGAAAGGCGGCUUCGGCUGUCACUUAUGGAUGGACCCGCGUCGCAUUAGCGAGUUGGUGAGGUAACGGCUCACCAAGGCAACGAUGCGUAGCCGACCUGAGAGGGUGAUCGGCCACACUGGGACUGAGACACGGCCCAGACUCCUACGGGAGGCAGCAGUAGGGAAUCUUCCGCAAUGGACGAAAGUCUGACGGAGCAACGCCGCGUGAGUGAUGAAGGCUUUCGGGUCGUAAAACUCUGUUGUUAGGGAAGAACAAGUGCUAGUUGAGUAAGCUGGCACCUUGACGGUACCUAACCAGAAAGCCACGGCUAACUACGUGCCAGCCGCCGCUGUAA
rnacentral:rRNA from 1 species